GUGCCUCUCUCGGCCUUAGAGUAUGGAGGUUGUGGGUUCGAUUCCCUCAAUCGGCAGAUUUGUCAGGAGAUCGGCGCCACCGCCCAGGAGUGUGGGUUGAGUGGGUGUCGCACCGACUCCGAUUUCGUGUUCUGUGUGAUGCGUUUACGGCCAGAGAUUGGCAAUGCAUGCACAUGGCCGACACGUUUGGAUUUCAUUCUGUUAGAUUUUGGCUCGACAGCAUGGAGACGUCCAUGCUGUACGAGAUGGCCUUCGAUAUUUCCGCAUGCUAGAGUGACCCUUCGGGGCUGUUUCGAUGUUGUGGGUUUCAUCCCUUUAUUAACAUCUUUCGAUAUUAAUAAAGCUAUCGUUUGUGGCGUCGUUGUUUUCCGUUGCAUUCCUAUGCAGCGCAGGCAUAGCGCUUACAUGGUGGAGAUGCGAUUUCGAUCCCUGAUCCCCCUAUCGACGUUCUGUUUCUCUACGCCGAAUUUGGAUGCGGUGUUUGGUACUGCAUGGUAUUUUCCCCGAUCCCCUACCGACGCAACUUCCUAAUCCGAUUUUGGAUGCGGGGUUUUUUUUCCUGCAUCGAGCUGACAGUGCGUGUAAUCAACCGCGCGCACCAGUCGAAUUUCCCUGUACGGCCUACCGGAUUCCACGCUCAUGUAACAGCGCAGUGUGGAGUCACGCCGUAUCGCGAACCCGGAAACAUCAGCAUCGUAACCCGACGCAUCGCGGAGGACCGGAACUGAUUUCUUCUCAUCACCAGCCGAUAGCUGCCUUCCCCACAUAUCGGAGGAACUACCAGACCCUGGGCAUUCUUCAGUGGAGGAGCAGAAAGGCGGAAUCGAGAUCCUGCAUCCAAAACGACAGUCGGGAAGCAGCACACCGAACGCACCGCACCGUACAUUCGUCACGUCGAGUCAGUGGCAGGAUAAACCCACUGAAAUUUAUCCAUGAUAACCGGAAUUUUGCCGUGCACGAGAACCAUCGAGGUUGUCGUGCAUUAUCGACCUUGCGUUGUCGAUUUGCACUCUGUUAUCGAGUGUGCGCCGAAAAUUCGAAACCAUAAUUCAUGAGAAUUACGGAAUUAUUCUGCCGAUUUGUCCGCAAUUAUCGCCGACUGUAAUCAUCGGAAAUUUUAUUACGGAAAUUGUGGAAAACUGCGGAAUAUUGCCAUCAAUACAACUGCGUGUUGUAGCCGAUAUUUCUGCCCAUUAGCCGAUUUGAUUAAACAAACCGAAUGAAGCCGAUGCCGAUCAUUGUUAUCCUUGCGAUAACAAUACGAACCGCCGGGCAAUAUGCCAGAUGAUUUGUUUAUCGAAUUGCCGACCCUGCCAUAUGGCGAUCGAUGAUGCCGAAUUUUUCACAAGAUUGUGGAAGAAGCCGACACGAUCUGUGUUUUCCGAACUUAUCAGUGAAACGCUGUGUUAUCGCUGCCGCCGUUUCAGCCGACUAUCCUGCUACUGCUGACACUGACGUUGACAUGGUGCCGGAUGCGAGUGCUGAAUAAUCGGAUGCCGAGCUUUGGAGGACAAGAGAUUCUCCAGAAUGGAACGCACCAGUGCAAUACUUUCAUUAGCGUUUGUUUUAUUAAUACUAUAGAAUAUGCCGCCAUGUUGGGCCGCAUUUUCAUUUUGUUUAUUGCUGUGCUGUAGCCUCGAGGGACCUCGGCGUCCCGCCCCGUGGCAUGUCAGGAGAUCGGCGCCACCGCCCAGGAGUGUGGGUUGAGUGGGUGUCGCACCGACUCCGAUUUCGUGUUCUGUGUGAUGCGUUUACGGCCAGAGAUUGGCAAUGCAUGCACAUGGCCGACACGUUUGGAUUUCAUUCUGUUAGAUUUUGGCUCGACAGCAUGGAGACGUCCAUGCUGUACGAGAUGGCCUUCGAUAUUUCCGCAUGCUAGAGUGACCCUUCGGGGCUGUUUCGAUGUUGUGGGUUUCAUCCCUUUAUUAACAUCUUUCGAUAUUAAUAAAGCUAUCGUUUGUGGCGUCGUUGUUUUCCGUUGCAUUCCUAUGCAGCGCAGGCAUAGCGCUUACAACUGC